rnacentral:lncRNA from 1 species
UGCCUUUAUGACUUUGGGUUUAAGAACAGUCCUCUUCUAGCUAAUGCAUGGUGCAGAGAGGGUUUCCUUUAUUUCUCCACGUCCCCCUGAAGCCUUAACCUCUCUGAGACGUUCAUCAUGCUCUCCUCUGUGUUACUUCUGGACCCUGUACAGGACUUAGGUUAGAAGUUACCACCCGGAUUGCAUUUAUAGUAGAAGCAAAGGGAUCAAGAACCUGCAGUCAGGCAGAUCUGGAUUCAAAUUCCCAAGUACUAAAAAUGACUCUGAACACUUUUGUGCUGUACGGGACUUAGGUUAGAAGUUACCACCCUGAUUGCAUUUAUAGUAGAAGCAAAGGGGUCAAGAACCUGCAGUCAGGCAGAUCUGGAUUCAAAUUCCCAAGUACUAAAAAUGACUCUGAACACUUUUGUGCUGUAGUUUCCUCAUUAAAAAAAAAAAAAAAAAUGAGGCUAUAGCUCUUCCUAUGAGUGUGUAGUAGAUGCUUUUGGUGCCUAAGCUGGGCACCAUCCCCCGGCUGCUCUGAAUAUUGAUUGGGUACAUCCUGAAUUGAUCAUUUGCAUAAGAACGCCCUUCCUAAACCUCUGAUUCUAGCGAACCAGCUAAAGACAGAGUUGUGAAGAUCAAAUGAUAAGUCAGUUUGCACAUUGUGCAGCACGUAAUUCCCAAACAGUAGCCAUUAUCACAAUUUUAGCCGCAUAUCUGGAAACUUUAGCACAAUUUCUGGCACCCUGAGGUGGCCAAUAAAUUAUACAAAGUGAGGCUACUGGUAAUCAUGUCUUGCCGUCAAUGUAUCUGAUUUGAGUACCUUGAAUAGCUCUGAACGUGUCUGCAAUGACCUUUAUCAUCUUCAAAUAGCACUUCCACCUCUAUCCACUUCUAUACAUUUUCCUCUAACCACUAUCGCCAUAAAGAUGUCUAUUGUAUUUCUAAAGACAGGAUGCCCAUAGUGGGGAGAGAAAAAGUAGUUUCUAUUCUUAAGAAGUAUACAUGUAUACUCAGAUUUACUAUCAACAUAAAAUAAAAGAACAAUGCAUAUCACUUGAUUUCAGGAAGUGUUUAUGGAAAAACCACUAAGCUGCUUAUACAUUUAUAGUUUAUAAGUAACCACAUUAAUGGGAUAUUGAUAUAUUUAAAGUACUUACCUGCUUUUCUCCUCUUUAAAAUGCUAGAGUAAUGAUUAUACUGAGUAUAGGAUCUGAGGAAUUCAAAGAGCUGAACUUGUAUUUUGAAAAUGUAUAAUUCCCCUGUGAAGUGCAUAAGAGGCUACUGCAAAUAUGUAAUAAAAUUAAACGAGAUUCUGACAUUUGAUGAUUCAGAUGUGGGAUACUUUUGCUAGGAAAAUUGGUGGUUGCUUCCAUUUUCACAGCCAUGAAAACAAAUCCAUCUCCUUUCAUUCUACUGCCCCCCCCAUCUACGUCCACUAAAUAGACCAAACCUAAUUUCAUUUAAAAAGAGGAAAAACACAAUGGAUUAAUUUUGGUGAAUAUGGGCUUACUUUUUGCUUCCAUUAAGAAGUAUGAACUUAUACUUCCCAUUGUUUGUUCCAGAGAGCAUUACAAGCUCAGGUCGGAGAGAAGCGAAUCAGCUUCAUAGUGCUGUAGCAAAGUAUUUAAGCCAAAAAGAAAUAUCCCAUUAUAAGAGAUAAAAGUGCUUGUGUUCAUGAAGAAAUUCAACAGUCGGGCAAAAGAAGGGCACUCCUCAUAAAAAGAAGGGCACAUUUCAACACAUAAUUCUCCUUUGGAAACUUUAGUGUUUAUGGCAGAUAAAACUACCUAGGGUGUCUUUGAGAUUCUAGAGUGUGUUUGAGAAUGUUGGACAUGAAAAUAUCUUUAAAUAUGUAUUAUAAUGAUACCAGAUGCUCUGAAACCUGGAAAUGUUGGGGUACUAAGAGGGGAAGUUUGGAGUCUAGGAGAAGGGUGGUUGAGGCUUGUACUCAGUAGGGAAAUGAAAGACAAGUAAGGAGGACGUUGGACAGGGCCCCCAACUGAGGAAGCGAACUGGCAUCACAAUCUUAUACAGGCUCCCUCCUUUUCCAUGGAGAAUGGCCAAGGGAUAGUAAUUAGCAUUCAGACUCAUAGGCUUAAUCUUUGGCUAAGGAAAUCAUGGCAGAGAGAGGAAGGUCAAAUAACUUGCUGGAGGUCACACAUACUAAAAACGUUACUGUUGGUCAUCAAACUGCAAUUUCUCUUUAUAGAGCGCCAUAUGCUCUAUACACAUUAUCUGACAGCAGCUCUAUGAGAUGAGAAAAUUGGGGCUCUGAGAAGCUAAUUGAAGUCCUCAAAUUAUUACCAGUCCUGAGUAAUGGAACCUUGCUAUGAGCCCAGGGCCAACUAGCUGCUGAGUUCAGGCCCUUACCUGCUAGGUGAUACCGGCCAACACCAUGUUAUAACCACCUCUCUCAUCCUCCAGCUCCACACUAUAGACUGUUUGCUUGCCGAAGGGAGGAAUUGUGUCUUAAUAUCUCUAGAUACCAGGACAAACCACAGGGUCUGGCUCAAGGCUUAUGGCUGCACCUGUGGCAUGUGGAAGUUCCCGGGCUAGGGGUCAAAUUGGGUCUGUAGCUGAGGCUUACACUACAGCCACAGCAACACCGGAUCUGAGCUACAUCUGCAGCUACAUCUGCAGCCUACACUACAGCUCGAAACAACACUGGAUCCUUACCCACUGAGCAAGGCCAGGGAUGGAACCCGCAUCCUCAUAGAGACAAUAUUGGGUCCUUGACCCACUCAGCCACAACCGGAAGUCUGAAAAUAUCUGUUGAAUGAAUGAGUGAUGAAUGGUCUUUAGGUAUGCCUAUAAACAGUGCCACCAUGCACAGAGAAUGAAAAAAAAAUGCGCAUUUUCUAUGAUGUCCCGUUUCCCACACCUUUAUCUAUCUACAAAAUUUCUCACAUCUCUGCAAAGAUCUCCCUGACCUUCAUGCAAUGUGAUCACUCCUUGUACUAAACUUUGCUAAUAUACUUAUUACAGCAGAAAGAGGCCAGAGAGAACAAUGGGCCAGACCUCCUCGUGGAUAAAUAUCACAUUUUCACAGGUGACGUUUCUGUGAAAUGGUGACACUUCCUCCCACUGGCCCUUACUCAUCUAAUACGUAUCGGGGGGUUUCUGGGUGCCAUGCAUAUAUGGACAUGGUCCUAAAGCGAAAGAGUAGGACACAGUUCAUUUUCUCACAGUUUUUAUAACUUGGUGUGGGAGAUAAAAAUAGAAACAGAUCACUAUUACGCAGUGUAGAAAGUGCCGUCUUGGGAGUUCCCAUCGUGGCUCAGUGGAAACGAAUCUGUCUAGCAUUCAUGUGGAUGCAGGUUCGAUCUCUGGCUUCGCUCAGUGGGUUAAAGAUCGGGUGUUGCUCUGAGCUGUGUUGUAAAUCUCAGACGCAGCUCGGAUCUGGCGAUACUGUGGCUCUGGCAUAGGCCGGAGGCUACAGCUCCAAUUCGACUCCUAGCCUGGGAACCUCCAUAUGCU